ensembl:lncRNA
GUUCCUCUCUCAGCGACAAAGUCUACCAGACUCCAGCUGACAUGUACAGCAAUCCUGGAGAAUCAGCCAGAAUCAACUGUUCCCAUAAAAUUGAGAGUUACAAUCGAAUCCUCUGGUACAAGCAAUUACAGAACAAACAGCUGAAGUUUCUGGGACACAUGAAUGUAAAGUAUGGUAAUCCUGAAGCUGGAGAGCAUGUGAAAAUAGACGGGGAUGCAAAUAAAGGCGAGACCUGCACAUUAACAGUGGAAAGACUUAACUCAAGCAGCAGUGCAGUGUACUUCUGUGCUGCUACUUAACACAGUGCUACGUGUCACUGCUCCUCACUACAAAAACUUCAUUGCACAUUUGUUCAUCUCUAUAUAAAGCUCACUGUCCCUUGCACCUGUAUCCUUUUCUUUCAUUAGGUGGCAGUAUAUCUUCAGACUUUUAUAAUGAGCCACCGUUCUGGUGUAUGGUGACACUUGUUAUGAUCAUUACAAUGAUAGGCUCAGGAUGUACUAGGACCACCCACCUACAGAGUUUACUCAAGAGAAGACUGGAACUCAAUCAGUUUAACAACUGAGACACUAAGAAUCUCUCAGUAAAACAAUAUUGCAGGAAAAAAUAAGGACAACAUGAAGAUUUUAUUACUAAGGAUUGCAUUUCACAUUAUGUUUUUAGGUUCAUCUUUCAGUGACAUCGUCAAACAGAAUCCAGCUGAUAUUUACAGCAAACCAGGAGAAGAGGCCAGAAUCAGCUGUUCACACAGUCAUCAGAGUUACAACCAAAUCCUCUGGUACAAACAAUUACAGAACAAACAGAUGAAGUUUCUGGGAUACAUGAAUGUAAAGUAUGGUAAUCCUGAAGCUGGAGAGCAUGUGAAAAUAGACGGGGAUGCAAAUAAAGGCGAGACCUGCACAUUAACAGUGGAAAGACUUGACUCAAGCAGCAGUGCAGUGUACUUCUGUGCUGCUAGUUUACACAGUGCUACAUGUCACUGCUCCUCAAAACAAAAACCCUCCCUCACAUCAUUUUUAUCUCAGUAUUACAGCCCACAACACCUUGCACCUGGAAUAACCCACUGCAACCAAUGCUGCUCAGAAUGGAAGGUUCAUUAUGUGUAG